AAUUACACUCUAAAAAUGGCUGGGUUAUUUUUUAACCCAAAAUGCUGGGUUGAGUCUGUUGGGUUGUUUUGCUGGGUUAUUUUUUUACAUUUUAAACACUUUUUGGGUAGUUUCAGUUUUCUGGUUGUUGGGUUAAAACUGCUGGGUUAUUAUACUGGGUUGUUUGAAGAGGCUCACGUGCUUCGCGCCUUGGAUGUUUGAAUGUGCUCAGCAACGGUCGUCGUGAAAGGACAGAGUCACUGGAAGCAGUUGUUUCAAGAGUGUGCAGAGUUUUUAUGUCCAUCCAUUAAUGAGGCUAGCAAGGCCUUCAUACAACUUCAGCCAAUUGCAACAAAUGUGGUGGAAGUUCUUCUCUGGACAGAAUCCUCGAAAUCCUUUCCUUUAUUUCCUGGCAAUGGGAAACAUGCAACAGAUCUCUCAAUCUUUUUUCUCUAUCAGUCUCUCUGAUGGAGCCAAUACGGAAGUGACUUAAACUGCAAUUCGGCCAAGAUGGCGACGGCACGCACCGCCUACUUUAGGCUUCAAAAAUGCUCUUCACAACCAAUGGGUGACAUCACGGACACUACUUUCAUAUUUUUUUACAGUCUAUGGUUUAAAGGCAUUUUACGUGCUUGAAAAUAAAUACCCCAGGCAAUGUGCAUCUACUGUAGUCUGUCAUUUUCCAAAUGGAUGAAUCCUCUGCUGUUCGGUUCCUUUGUACAUCUUUGUUCGUGAGGAGUAACUUUAAUAAAUGAAGUAUUUUUAGUCAAAUACAUACCAUACUCUGAAACUUGGAACAUCUGUUCUGUAAAAAACUUUACACAUCUGUAAAUGAUUUUACUUUUAAUUUAACAAUUACAUUGUUUAUUUUCUUACACUGC